rnacentral:sRNA from 1 species
UUUUUCUUUAAUCUUUCUCAGUCUUGGGAUGUCUAUUAAUAGUAUUAUUCUUUUGGGAUAGGGAGGAGACAAGAUUUAUUCUCCCCAUUUCAGAGAUGGAGAAACUGAGGCAUGGAAAUUUUGGGGGCCCAGAAUUGAAAGUACGCUUGAGAUGAGGGCACAGGCUCUCUGCCCCCUCCUGGCCACUCCUGCCUGUUGGCUCUCUGCUGUCUCUGACCUCACUGCUGACUCCUCUGUGGCCAGGGCUGGAGAGUAUUGGAGCUGCUGCUUGAUGUUUCUGACAUGAGAUUUUUCCAGGCGGUCUGGAAACAAGUCCUCUCCACCUUCCAUUGCUCCACUGGCCAUGGAUUCAGCAGAUCUCAGUGAAGAGAAGGGGUCUGUCCAGAUGGACUCCACCCUGCAGGGAGACAUGAGGCACAUGACCCUGGAGGGGGAAGAGGAGAAUGGGGAGGUUCACCAGGCACGUGAAGACAAGUCUCUCUCAGAAGCCCCAGAAGACACCAGCACCAGGGGCCUGAACCAAGACUCCACAGAUAGCAAAACGCUUCAAGGUAUAACUUUAGGAGGAGAAGAGCCCAUCUCCCCACCUCUCAAUUUAGGAGCCUGACGAGCUCCACUCCACUGCUGACUAGAAUGGCCCUUAAGCUCCCGGGGGAGGAGGGGAAGGUCCUUAUUUUCUGUGAGGGUGGCGCAGCAGCCCUUUCACAUCUUGUUUUUGAAUCCUUUCCACAUAAGUCACGUCUUCCUGGGAGCUAAUCUGCCCUGGCAUUUGCCUGUCUUCAGCUACAAAGCCCUCCAAGGUUUCUUCUGGCUCAACUUCUCUGGGUGAACACUCCUAGCUUGGUGGGACUUUGUGGCUUGACUCCUUCUCUGGGGUCAACCCUCUUUAAAGGCUCAGUGCUCAAGAGAGGCUGGGAGCUUUGGUACCUGGGAAUGGGUUCCUUUCAGAGCCAAGCGGGUGAGGUAGGGAUGAAGCUGGGGGUCGUUUUCUUGUACCAGGUGUUCUGUAUCCCUCAGGAAGGAUGUGGCUCUUGUCUUUUCCCUGCAGAACAAAUGGAUGAGCUGUUACAGCAAUGCUUCUUACAUGCCUUGAAGUGCCGAGUCAAAAAGGCUGACCUCCCUUUACUCACCAGCACUUUCCUUGGCAGCCACAUGUUCUCCUGCUGGUAUGGAAAGCACUGAUGUGGGCUGGAGGCCGGGGCCGGGGUCUCACGUGUGCUCCUUGGUAGUAGGACAGAAUGGGGCCAAUGCAGGGACUGGUUGAGGGACAUGCUGUGGAAAGAGUGGAGGGAAGGCUUAUCUGACAAAUACAUUAGUUCCUGGGUUCUAAAAAGUUAAUUCUUAGCUUGCUGGGCUGUUAAAACAAAAUCUUAAAUUUUAGCCAAUGAAAGGAUAUUGAGGACCGGAAAGUUAAAAUUCCUGAGAUUCCGUGAACACUGCCUCUGCCGUGGGGGUUCUGGGCAACCUCACAAAUCGGGCAGCGUGUCCUCUGCAGGAAGUGUCCCAGGGCAGCCUCUUUGUCAGGAAUCUUCUUCUGGAACAUUCAACCUCCUCACACUUCUGAAAAGUAUGUGGGGGGCCACAUUAGGUUUUAUUAGGAGGAAGAAUUGGUGUGAACACCCCCCGUCCCGGCCCACCCCAUCCAAAACACAAGCCACCAGGAGUGGUAUUAUUGCGUGUGGAUAGAACCUGGAUUUUGAAGACAGAGCUGUCUGUACUCAACUGCUAGGUCUCCAGGGUGUUCAAGCAAUGUGCAUUUUAGCUUGUUACUGGGCUUCUCUGAGUCCUAAUUUCUAAUAAUCAUGGGAUUGCUGUAAAGAUUACAUAGCCUGAACCAUAAUAAGCAUUCAGUAAAUACUAUCAUGUCAGGAGGUUUGCUUAUUGAUUUUUACCCUGAGAUUGAAUUUAUUUAUUUAUUUAUUUUUUGUUUUGAGACACAGUUUCACUCUGUCACCCAGGCUGGAGUACAGUGGCGUGAUCUCGGCUCACUGCAACCCCUGCCUCCCAGGUUCAAGAGAUUCUCCUGCCUCAGCCUUCCCGAGUAGCUGGGAUUACAGGCACAUGCCACCAUGUGCAGCUAAUUUUUGUAUUUUUAGUAAAGAUGGGGUAUCACCAUGUUGCCCAGGCUGGUCUUGAACUCCUAACCUCAAGUGAUCCGCCUGCCUCGGCCUCCCGUAGUGCUGGGAUUAUAGGCGUGAGCCACUGUGUCCGGCCUGAAUUUAUUUCUUUUUGAGAAUCUGGCUGUGGUUUUUUAAAAAAGUGAUUCUUAAUGUAAUGUCUUCCCAUUUAUACUUGGGUGUAUUUAAGCUAUCCUGUACAAAUGUGGUGUCUGGAGUGUGUGGAGGGAUACUUGGUAAUCUGUUCUGACUUUCUUGGGUUGCAAAUAUAUGGUAAAGGGGCCCCAGAAUAUUCUGUAGGAUAGGAUUCUGGGAUGGAUUCUAGAAGGACUCCUCGAGAAUCCAUGUAAGCUUUUAUCAGGAAUGUCCUCUCCAAAACUAAUUGCUGUAGUGCAGGGGUCAGCAUGUUUUUCUGUAAAGGGCCAGAUAGUAAAUAUGAAUAUUUUCAGUUUUGCAGGCCAUACCAUCUCUGUUGCAACUGCUCGAUGCUGCCAUUGUAGCACUAAUGUGACCAUAGACAGUAGAUAAUUAGUUGGCCAGACCUGACCCCAGGAUGCGGCUUGCUGGGCCCCACUCCAGGCCUGGCUGCCCACAGUGUGAGUUUGCUGUUGCAACUUUGGAGGCCACAGAAGGUUGUCUGGUCUGGGAGGAAUCUAAGGCUGUAUCCAAUGCGGUAGCCACUGGCCACAUGUCGCUAUUUUCAGUUUAAAUUAAUUUAAAGUAAAUAAAAUUUAAAAUUCAGUUCCCUUGGUCACAUUAGUCACACUUCAAGUACUUACUACCCACAUGUGGCUAAUGGCUGCCCUGUUAGACAACACAGAGAACAUUCCACGUCUAUGGAAAGUUCUCUUGAACAGCACUGAUUUAGAAUGUCCCAUAGUCUGCGUCCCUCUCUGCUGUCAUCCCUGGGCAGAGAGUUCUGGCACAGUGGCCUCUCUCUGAAGGUGGGGGAGGAAGGCUGAGGAAAAAGGCCCUCCUCUCAGUGUCAGGCAGGUCCCAGUAUGACUGCUCAUUGGUUUAAUUUGCCUUUUCCAUCUGCCAUCAGCCCCGAAGGACGACAACUGGACAUAAAGAAGUCAAGCUACAAAAAGGAAGGGGAGCUUUCUGGAGGGCAGUGAGAUCCGAACGAUCGUCAUUAACUACGCCAAGAAAAAUGACCUGGUUGAUGCAGACAACAAAAAUCUUGUGAAAUUGGAUCCCAUCCUAUGUGACUGCAUCUUAGAGAAAAAUGAACAGCAUACAGUCAUGAAGCUUCCAUGGGACAGUCUUCUGACCAGGUGUUUGGAAAAAUUACAGCCUGCCUAUCAAGUGACCUUUCCCGGACAAGAGCCCAUUGUGAAGAAAGGGAGAAUCUGUCCAAUUGACAUCACCCUAGCACAAAGAGCGUCUAAUAAAAAGGUAAUUUUAAAAAGACACAAUGUUCAAGGAGAGUGAUUUAAUGUUCUUGCCAAGUUCUGGUCUCCCUAAUGUGAUUGGAGGUUUUUAGAUUGGCCUCAAACACAUCAAAGAUUUUUUUAUGAAACACCCGUGUUUAUGUGCCUGGGCUGGGCUCUGUAUGAAACAGGUAAAGCUGACCCCGCUCACUGACUGCCCUCUAGCAUUUUGUUCUAGGAAACUUGCUAGAGCCUGGUUCCAAAAGUAAACAAGAUUUUAUUUUUAUUUUUUUCUUAGAACUAUGUUAUGGACAUUCAGCUCCCACAUAUUCUUUCACCUCUUAGGCCUUGCUCAAUGAAAAUAACUUGUAAAAAACUUGCUGAAGGAACUGAGUGUGUUUAGCUUGGCAACACAAAAUUGUGGGGAACCAAUGACAUCUCAAAUAUGUGCAAAGCUGUCCCCUGGCAAAGUAGGGCACUUAUUCUAUAUGCCUUGAAAGGACAGAAAUAGGAUUAUUGGGUGGAAAUGCCAAGAAGACAGACUUGAGUUCAAAAUAAAGAACUUUGUAGUAGUGUACAGUUACGAGCAUGGGCUUUGGAUAGUACUGGGUUCAAAUGCAGCCGUUGCCUCACUGCCUGACCUUGAGCAUGUUACUUCAUUUCUUUUUGUCUGAGUUUUACUCUGUGAAAAAUGGGGAUAAUACCUACCUGGUAAGGCAUUGUGAGGAUCAAAUGAAGGCGUAUACAUGGCUGAAGCACUUAGAAUGUACUUGGCAUAUAAAUACUUGGUUCUAAAUAAUUGAGAACCAGUAAUGAUAAUCUUUACAAUAAUUAGUAAUAGUCACUAUUUAUUGAGUGUUUAAUUAUGUGCCAGACACUGAACUAAAUAAUUUUCAUAUAUAUAGUUUAUGUAAACACUAAUUUUCUGUUAAUAAUGACAAAUAGAAUUGUCCAUAAUUGAAAUUGGUGCUUCAUAAAAUAGUGAAUUUUUUUCUGGAGAGUCUGCAAGCAAAAAUUAGGUGAGCACUUGUCAGGGGAGGAUGUAGUUGGGGGUUCAUGCAUCAGGUGGGCAAUUGGAAGAGAUACGUCCUCUAAAGUCUUAUUGAUUCUAAGAUUUUCUGGGUCUGGAGCUCAUUGACAAGCGUAAGGCUAGUUGGAGCUUUUAUAGUCUUUAUUGAUAGCAGUCAUCCCCCACACACCCCUGAUAGUAAUACACUUUACUAUCUGUAGUCAUGAAUGAGAAAGAAUUUGUUUUAAAGCAACAAGGGGGAGAAUUGUGAUAUUUUAAAAGCACUAACAUUUUUCUUUUUUAUCUCAAAGUCACAUACUUGUCAUUUGUGAAGCUGAAUAACAGAAGAAUGCAUGUGUUGCUGACUAGAUUCUUGAUAUUAAGGAGCUAUUGUUUGUUAAUUUAUUUUUAGGUGUGAUGAUGGUUUUGUUUUUAUGUUUAAAUGAGCCUUGUCUUUUGGAGAUACAUACUGAAAUAUUUAUAGAUGAAAUGAUCUGAUGUCUGGGGAGGUUUGCUUUAAAGUAAUAGAGGAGUGGGGAGUAGACAGGGGUAUAGAUGAAUCAAGGUUGGCCAUGAGUUGGUAAUUGUUGAAACUGGUGAUAGGUACAUGUGGGUUUAUAUACUAUUCUGCUUUCAUUUAUGUUUUGAAUUCUCCAAAUAAAACUUAAAAAAGAAGUAG